rnacentral:rRNA from 1 species
GACGAAGGGGGCUAGCGUUGUUCGGAAUUACUGGGCGUAAAGCGCGUGUAGGCGGUUGCCAUAGUCAGGUGUGAAAGCCUUGAGCUUAACUCAAGAAAUGCACUUGAUACUGGGCGACUAGAGGACCGGAGAGGAUAGUGGAAUUCCCAGUGUAGUGGUGAAAUACGUAGAGAUUGGGAAGAACACCAGUGGCGAAGGCGGCUAUCUGGACGGUUACUGACGCUAAGGUGCGAAAGCGUGGGGAGCAAACAGG